UUCCGAGAAUUAUUAUUUUCUUUCAUUGUCUCAGUUGCAUUAUUUAUAGUAAUAAGACUUUAAGAAAAGUCAAGCUGUAAAAGUCUCAUCUGCGUAUUACAUUAUUUGCUGUAAAUUUCGCGUUCGCCAAAAACGCUCUCUCUGCUCUCGUCCGCGGUAAAGCCAGAGACCUGAUAACACACGGUGCGACGUGCGUUAAUAAGUGCCUGUGCAAUGAGCCCUCCUCGGACAAAUUCCUUGCCAUUUGCACCCACUCACCCUCCAGCGCAAAUGAAUCCUGCACAACAAUGCAGAAGGAGCGUAGUGGACCCUCGGCUGCUAAAUUUCAAUUUGGCGAUGCAUCGAUUGUUUUCUUUCCCUCUUCAUUUCCAUGAGAAGUUCAAAAUUGCUCUACUUAUUCCUCUGUCUGAAAAUGGCCUCUUCUAUAUCAACGAGUGUGGGGUGGAACUAUUGUGUUGCUAUUUCUGUCCGUUGAAAUUCAGCAUCGAGGAAUAUUGUGAUCGCGAAGGCCUCAAUUUAGCUAAGAUUAUCGAAGAGCACAAUAAAUUUGACUGUAAUAUCGGAGCUCACGGCUCAAAAAAUAUCGCAAUAGGCGAACGAAUCAUACUGAAUAACAAUUUUGAAGCGCAUCGUCUGUUUUCAAUUCUGAAAAAGACCGACUGGAAGUAUGUGGAGCCGUUUGAUUUAGCCAAAAGCGGAUUUUUCUACAUGGGAAACAACGAUGCAGUUUUUUGCGUUCACUGCAACGUGAUUGUCGAAGGCUGGGAGCCUGGAGACACACCAGACGGAGAGCACAGGAAAUGGAGCCCGUCGUGCCCGUUUUUGUGCAGCCACAGCAGCGUCGUCAACUACCCUAUCGGAAGCGAGCCCCUCGAAGGGCAGCACGAUGGCAUUGGAAAGAAAUCCACAGGCGCUAACCCAUUCCCAUUGGCACAAUCAGAUCAACCACCAGCUCAAAUCACGGAAGAUCAGGGUGCACAGCUGCCUGCUGCAGCCCCUCAGGGGGAAGCUGAAGCCCCUCAGGGUGAGCAAGAUUUUCAAGACGAGCCUCAGCCCUGAAUUUGAAAAGUGGCCUUGUUUUUUGUCAAUUCUGAGGUCGAUUUUAAUAAAAAUAAUUUUUAAAUACGA